rnacentral:rRNA from 1 species
UACGAAGGGGGCUAGCGUUGCUCGGGAUUACUGGGCGUAAAGCGCACGUAGGCGGCUUUCUAAGUCGGGGGUGAAAUCCUGGAGCUCAACUCCAGAACUGCCUUCGAUACUGGAGAGCUCGAGUCCGGGAGAGGUGAGUGGAACUGCGAGUGUAGAGGUGAAAUUCGUAGAUAUUCGCAAGAACACCAGUGGCGAAGGCGGCUCACUGGCCCGGUACUGACGCUGAGGUGCGAAAGCGUGGGGAGCAAACAGG